GGCUUUUGUGCUGGGUUGAGCUGUAUCUUCCCACAGUGGUAUGCUGAAGUCCCUGUUCCCUGUACGACAGGAUGUGACCAGAUUAUUGUGAGACAUUGUUUCUGUUCAGCCGUUCCACUCCUGGGAGCUAAUAAUCUACUCGGAGGCAGAAAGCCUUCAUAGGAAACAGGUCACAAGGCAAGGCAUUACAGAAUUUCAGGACCGUAGAAUCUGUGCCCUGGAGCAGCCAAGCAGUCCUUGACAGUGGCAUCUCCUUAGACACACAGCUGGGUUCCCAGAAAGCCAUCGUCUGGCCUCUCUCCCUAGACUGGCCAUCCAUCGGAUUGAUUAGGGCCCUGUCUCCAAAGACAGUUCCCUUUUGAAGAGGCUUUGACAUAUGGAUGACCCAGCUCAGCCUAUGGUAAGUGAGGA
rnacentral:lncRNA from 1 species